CGACCGGCGCGACGGGUGAGUAACGCGUAUGCAACCUACCUAUCAGGAGGGGAACUAACCCGGCGAAAGUCGGACUAAUACCGCAUAAAACAGGGGUUCCACAUGGAAAUAUUUGUUAAAGAAUUAUCGCUGAUAGAUGGGCAUGCGUUCCAUUAGAUAGUUGGUGAGGUAACGGCUCACCAAGUCCACGAUGGAUAGGGGUUCUGAGAGGAAGGUCCCCCACACUGGUACUGAGACACGGACCAGACUCCUACGGGAGGCAGCAG
rnacentral:rRNA from 1 species